rnacentral:rRNA from 1 species
GACGAACGCUGGCGGCGUGCUUAACACAUGCAAGUCGAGCGGUAAGGCCCUUUCGGGGGUACACGAGCGGCGAACGGGUGAGUAACACGUGGGUGACCUGCCCUUAGCUCUGGGAUAAGCCUGGGAAACUGGGUCUAAUACCGGAUAUGACUCCAUGACGCAUGUUGUGGGGUGGAAAGCCUUGUGCGGCUAGGGAUGGGCCUGCGGCCUAUCAGCUUGUUGGUGGGGUGAUGGCCUACCAAGGCGACGACGGGUAGCCGGCCUGAGAGGGCGACCGGCCACACUGGGACUGAGACACGGCCCAGACUCCUACGGGAGGCAGCAGUGGGGAAUCUUGCGCAAUGGGCGAAAGCCUGACGCAGCGACGCCGCGGUGGGGAUG